rnacentral:lncRNA from 1 species
CGCGCUUAAAAAAUAUUUUAAUGAGUUUCCGGAGACAAGGACUGGAAUCCUUUGCGCCUUUCAGGUGCCGCUCCCAGUAGGUCGAAAACUGCUAGAGUUUUCACCGGGAUCAGCGUUUUGCAGGCGUCCGCUGGGGCUCGGAGACGUGGGCUGAAAGCAGGCCCAAGUGCCACGUCUGCCCUGCCGCUUUCACCGGGCAGAUCUCGGCCCCCCAUUAGCAGCGGGUUGAGUGGGGUGGGGGCAGGGCGAGGCCUGGUGUCCCGGCGAGGCUCCCCGCGGGGUUGGGACCGGUGCCCUCCGUUCCUGCCCUCCAGCUUCCCACCCCCGGCACGGGUUUCGUCGCAGCCGGUUCUUUCCAGCUGGGGUCAGAGUGGGCUCCCCCCACGGCGUCGCGGAGCGCAGGGCCAACCGCGCACCCUUAUCUCGGCCGAGUCAGACACUCGCCGCGCGGAAUCUGUUGACAUUUACUAUUGUUCACAGGAGUCCGGAGCGCGGGGCGGGGGCGGGCGGGCUGAGGGGGGGGGCUGCAGUCGGCCCUGGGGCGCGCGCGCGCUCGCGAAGGGGGGAGGGGCCGUCUUCACGGAAAAUAAGUGGCCGGCGGGCCCGGAAGCUUCCAAGCCAGCUCGCCGGCCCACGCCGGGAACUGAGGUCUCAGCUUGAAGCAGUGCAGCUACCAGGGGCCAUGUUCUCGGGGCGGAUGGCAGGAGUGGAGGAGGCCAGGCCAAACACAGCAAGCCUUUGGAAACCUCUCACCGGACCACUUUUACUCAUUCAGCCACAUGCCACUUAACAGACGGGCCAUGCACCGAGCCCCGUGUUGUUAGCAGUUCUGUCGGAGAAUGUCACAGUGUGUUCGCACCAACCCAGAUGGUAUGGGCCAGUCAUGUGUCAUGGCCUCUGGAUGCAGUCAAGGGAGGUGGUGAACACGAGAUGGAUGAGGCUGCCGUUGGCCUAACAUGACACAGUUUGACAGUGGACUUUUCAAAAAAAAAAAAAAAAUCAAUAUAAGGAAUCCACUAAAAUAAUGGUCACUGGUCAGCACUGGUCGUGAUGGUGCACACUCAUAAUCCCAGCACUCUGGGAGGCUGAGGCAGGAGAACCACAAGUUCGAACCCAGCGGGGGCAGUUUAGUGACUUUGCAAGACCUUAUCUCAAAAAGAAAAAGAAGAAAAGGCGGCGGCUGUAGCUCAGUGUGAAAGCCCUGGGUUCAGUACAAGAAAAAAAAAGCUGGAAGGCUGGGGGUGUAGCUUAGUGCAAGAGUGUGUGCUUAGCAUGCGUGAGGCCCUGGGUCCCUCCCCCAAAAGAUAAGCCAUGUAGCAUAAUAAAUGCAUAAACCAGUAAUGCGGUUAUUAUCAUUGUUCUAUACUACACAUAACAGUGUGUUACACUUUUUUCCUGUUUUAAUUAGUACAUAUUAAUUAUACAGAUUAAUGAGUUUCGUUAGGGUGGUUUUGUACAUGCACAUAAUAUACUCAGGCUGCUUUUACUGCCCCCCCCGUAUCCCCCCUUGCCCUUGUCUCCCCCCCAUUUAAUACUCCAGUGUGAUUGGCAGUGCCAUAAGUUUGUCUACACCAGAAUUAUCAUGAACAGAUGUGGAGUGUAUUGAGUUGUGACAUUACAACCAUGUCACUAGGCGAUGGAGCUUUUCAGCUCUCAUUCAUUCCCUCUCUCCUUAACUACUGGGGUUGAACCCAGGGCCUUCGCACUGAGCAGCAACCCCAGCCCUUCUUCCUUCCUUCCUUCCUUCCUUCCUUCCUUCCUUCCUUCCUUCCUUUCUUUCUUUCUUUAUUUUCUUUCUUGUUUUUUUGUUUUUUGAGACAGGGUCUCACUAUGCAGUUCAGGCUGGCCUUGAACUCACUUUGUAGCCCAGGCUGGCCUUGAACUCACAAUGAUCCUCUUGUCUCAGCCUCCCAAGUGCCAGGAUUACAGGCAUGUGCCACCACCCCCGGCUUUCUCUUUUUCUUCCUCCCUUUCUGUCUUCCUUUCCUUUCCUUUCCUUUCCUUUCCUUUCCUUUCCUUUCCUUUCCUUUUUCCUUUCCUUUCCUUUCCUUUCCUUUCCUUUCCUUUCCUUUC